AAAGGAAUAGACGGGGGCCCGCACAAGCGGUGGAACAUGUGGUUUAAUUCGACGCAACGCGAAGAACCUUACCUACCCUUGACAUGCUCGGAAUCUGCCAGAGAUGGUGGAGUGCCUUCGGGAGCCGAGACACAGGUGCUGCAUGGCUGUCGUCAGCUCGUGUCGUGAGAUGUUGGGUUAAGUCCCGUAACGAGCGCAACCCCUAUUCUUAGUUGCCAACAGGUAAAGCUGGGAACUCUAAGGAGACUGCCGGUGACAAGCCGGAGGAAGGUGGGGAUGACGUCAAGUCCUCAUGGCCCUUACGGGUAGGGCAACACACGUGUUACAAUGGUCAGUACAGAGGGAAGCGAAGUCGCGAGAUGGAGCGAAUCCUUUAAAAGCUGAUCGUAGUCCGGAUUGGAGUCUGCAACUCGACUCCAUGAAGUUGGAAUCGCUAGUAAUCGCGGAUCAGAACGCCGCGGUGAAUACGUUCCCGGGCCUUGUACACACCGCCCGU
rnacentral:rRNA from 1 species